CCAGUGUCAUUUAUUGACUUGCUCUAUGCCUUAAGGUGGUUGAAUUUUACCCCUAAUAAAUGUACUUUUUACAGGAAGCCUUGUGGAGAUUUAACACUGAAACAACACACACAAAUAUGAUCAACUGACAAGUGUGUCUUCCUCACACAACAAGGCUGUAAUGGUGUGUUGAUGGCUUUCACACAUAUGGAUGCUGAAGUUAUGAAAGGCCAGAGCUGGUGUUCUACAAUCAAAGGAAGAGGCUACCCUAUGGAGGACAGCAACAGCAGAUGUGAUGUGGAAUGAGGAGGACUCCAUCUUGGAUUGAAGGCCAAUAAGGGUCGUCUGGCCUCCAGCCCAUAGUACAGAAUCGUCUGAAAUGUGUGAGGGAGCCACAGAAAAUACUGGAUGCAGACCAGAAGUACCUUGUGAAUUACCAU
rnacentral:lncRNA from 1 species